rnacentral:rRNA from 1 species
UGAGGAACAUGACCUUCGGCGGGGGAGUAGCCGGCCCAACGGCCGGGUAAUACCGCGUACGACCACAUGGGGACAUCCCCGAGUGGUGAAAGCAGCAAUGCGCCGAUGGAGUGCCUCGCGGCCUAUCAGCUAGUUGGUGAGGUAACGGCUCACCAAGGCGACGACGGGUAGCCGGCCUGGAGAGGGCGAUCGGCCACACGUGGGACUGAGACACGGCCCUGACCUCCGUACGGGGAG